GUUUUUUAUUGUGUUUUAACCGUGUCUACAUAUGAGAAAUAAAUUAGGGAAGAAAGUUUUUUUCAUUGACGAUGGCAUAUAUUCUGAUAAACUGGGCAUGGUUAAUACAAUUGUAGAGCGCAUUUCUACGAGAAAUCGAGUUUUGACCAGAAUAGAUCAGAUGCAAGAAGAUAUUGAAAUGAAAUUGAUGGCUACCAGAAUUCACAGGUUAAGUAACGAUCAUUUCCUUUUACAUGUUUGUUUGAGCCAACAACUCAUGUAUUAUGUUAUCAGUCAUGAAUUACUGGUAUCAACCUUCUAAUUGUUCUUCAUCUAAUUGAGGUGAGAACAAAGAGCUGCGGGUCGGGGUAAGGAGGCUCAUGAGACCACUAAAUAACAUGUCGUCUUCGGUUAUCUCAAGCCACAGCAUGCAUCUUGUUUGCUAAAAAAGUUCUAUUUCUCAAAUUGCUAACUGCAUGAUUCUUUACUGCUAGGUCUUGAUUUGUUGGAUGAUAUCUUGUUGGGUUAUAAAGCUGAAUGGCCAAUGGAUAUUGGCAUUACAAUAGACGCACUAAAAAUAUAUGCUGAAAGUCUGGUUUUCAAUGUUUUUACUGAUUGAAGUAUGGAGAUAUCUAAAUUUUCUUAUCAAGUAUCUACAACAAGCAGUUUGCUUUGCUCUAGCUCUCAUAAUAGAUCUUUAUAAUGUGACAUUUUGCUAUGUAUGUGAACAUAUGACCCUCUUGAUUUGUUGGAUGAUAUCUUGUUUACUUGUAGUAGUGAUCUUGUUUACUCAGGAAGAAGCUGAGGCAGGAGUGCCUGCGGAAGGGGACGGAACUGGCGCAUGGGGUGGCUGACGCCCUCUUCGCUGUAUCACCCACCGAGGACCUCGACGGCCCUAUCGUACACCUCCCACCGCCCGCUGUUCGACUCCCGCGCGAGAAGCAUCUUGGUGCUGGGACCUCACUGCCAGGAUUCCAGGAUUAGUAGCUGCAAAGGUUGGGGCAGAUGUAACACUAACAGACAUGUGCCUAAAAUCUAUCCAAUGACACUGAUGAGCGCUAUGUAUUGUGUACUCAUCAGGUUACAAUUUACAGUUCACCUGCUACUGCUGGUUAUUGAUGAUUCGUGUAUUCGCCUCAUAGGAAUUUUAUUUUUCAAAAGUAGCAUGACUGCAUCAUUGUGAUUUGAUUCUUUCUGCCUAAGACUGACCUUAUGUUACUUGCUUCCGGAGCAUGUAACAUCCUGCUGCCUGUGAAUUUCUUUUUCUGCACAUAAGGAUUUGAACAUCAAGUUUCAGUCGAACCGCAGCAGGUAUUGCCCAUAAUUUGUUUUCAUGGAGUUAUUCAUUAUUAUUUCUGAUGUAAGAUCCAUCAUUU